rnacentral:rRNA from 1 species
GAACUCUGGUUAAGGAACUCGGCAAAAUGACCCCGUAACUUCGGGAGAAGGGGUGCUUUCUUAACGGAAAGCCGCAGUGAAUAGGCCCAAGCGACUGUUUAGCAAAAACACAGGUCUCUGCGAAGCCGUAAGGCGAAGUAUAGGGGCUGACACCUGCCCGGUGCUGGAAGGUUAAGGAGAGGGGUUAGCGUAAGCGAAGCUCUGAACUGAAGCCCCAGUAAACGGCGGCCGUAACUAUAACGGUCCUAAGGUAGCGAAAUUCCUUGUCGGGUAAGUUCCGACCCGCACGAAAGGUGUAACGAUUUGGGCACUGUCUCAACCAGAGACUCGGUGAAAUUAUAGUACCUGUGAAGAUGCAGGUUACCCGCGACAGGACGGAAAGACCCCGUGGAGCUUUACUGUAGCCUGAUAUUGAAUUUUGGUACAGUUUGUACAGGAUAGGCGGGAGCCAUUGAAACCGGAGCGCUAGCUUCGGUGGAGGCGCUGGUGGGAUACCGCCCUGACUGUAUUGAAAUUCUAACCUACGGGUCUCAUCGACCCGGGAGACAGUGUCAGGUGGGCAGUUUGACUGGGGCGGUCGCCUCCUAAAGUGUAACGGAGGCGCCCAAA